rnacentral:lncRNA from 1 species
AAGACUUUAUAAAGCAAAAGUUGAGGCGUUACAAUGCAAUAAACAGCAAAUUGUUAAACAAAAAGGAGUAUUUGUUGCUGUAACGAAAAAAAAAAGUGAAACUCGCCGGAAAACAAAGUAUGAACGUUUACGACGACGAGUCACUGAAGCAGGAGGUAAUCUACCUCCACUCCCUCUGGCACCAAGGCCCUCCCACCCGAAACCCGAUCCACGACCCGGUUCAGAGAUCCAGGCCCAAUUACAUCCCUCCGGCGGAUUUUCAGCUUCUCUCUCGCUACGGAGCCAACCCUAUUCACCCCCAACCUCCCCUCAGCAACAAGCGCUCCAGACCCGGGUCUGAUCGUGAAUGGCCCGUGAAGGAGCUCCCCCGUUAUCCCCCCACGGGCUGGCCCGAAGCCAAGCCGUGCAAAAAGGCUCGACCUUUAUCAGAUUCGGAGAAAAAGGAAGCGAGGGAAAAGUAUACAAGUUACAUAAGGCGCUGUACGGUCUUAAACAAGCACCACGAGCUUGGAAUGCAAAGUUAAAUAAGACACUACUUGAGCUCAAGUUCUCACGGUGCUUAAAAGAGCCGUCGGUAUAUCGCAAGACUAUCAAUGGAGACCUUUUAUGUGUUGCAGUCUACGUUGACGAUCUUUUUGUUACAGGAACAAACAUGAGGGUUAUAGACAACUUCAAACAAGAGAUGGCAACCAAGUUUGAGAUGAGUGACCUAGGGAAAUUAAGCUACUAUCUUGGGAUCGAAGUAAACCAACAUGAAGAUGGGAUUACUCUAAAUCAAAGCCGGUACGCAUUAAAGAUAUUGGAGGAGGCUGGCAUGAGCGACUGCAACGCAGUACAAAUACCUAUGGAUUCAGGUCUUAAGCUAUCAAAGUCAGAAGGAGAAAGAGAGAUAGAUGCGACAAACUACAGAAAGACCAUUGGAUGUUUUCGUUAUCUUCUUCAUACAAGACCAGACCUGUCCUACUGCAUUGGAGUCUUAAGCCGUUAUAUGCAAAGCCCCAGAGAGUCACACGGUAUUGCAAUGAAACAGUGCUUGAGAUAUUUGAAAGGCAGUACUUCGUAUGGCUUAACCUUUGAUCGUUCAACAUCAAACAUGAAGAAACUGGUUGGCUACAGUGAUAGUAGCCAUAACACUGAUCUUGAUGAUGGGAGAAGCACAACUGGCCACAUAUUCUACCUUGGUGAAAGCCCCAUCACGUGGUGCUCACAGAAACAAGACACGGUGGCAUUAUCUUCUUGUGAGGCCGAGUUUAUGGCUGGAACAGAGGCGGCAAGGCAGGCGAUUUGGCUUCAAGACUUGCUCAGUGAGAUCGUUGGAACAUCAUGUGAAAGAGUAGUCAUACGAAUAGAUAAUCAGUCAGCAAUAGCUCUUACUAAGAACCCGGUCUUCCAUGGUCGCAGUAAACAUAUACGCUCAAGAUAUCACUUCAUCAGAGAGUGUGUGGAGAAAGGAUUGAUUGAAGUUGAACAUGUUCCCGGAACGCAGCAGAAGGCGGACAUAUUGACUAAAGCUCUAGGGAGAGUUAAGUACAGAGAAAUGAGAGAGCUGAUCGGCAUGCAGGAUGUGGUGAAAGUGAACUUCAAGCUUAAGGGGGAGACUGUUGAGAUAAGCUUGAAAGAAGCUUAAGCUAGAAGUAAUCCUAUUCCUAUUUAUGAUAAGAUAACUUAGAGAUAAACAUGGAGUGUUUAGGAAGUUAUCUAAUAAGUGAGUUAUAUUAGGUUUAGGAUUACAUAUUCAUAUAUAUACAUGUCGUGUGUGACAUUGAGAGAUUGAGAGUGAUUUGUGAUUGUGAGAGCUUAAGUUUUUGAGCUAGUUUUCUUAAGCUAAUAAGAAGAGAUAUAUUCUUAUAAUCUUGUGAGUUCUUUACAAACGCUUUACAACAAUAGAGACUUCUGUACAAGCAUUAGUUGAAGGAACAAUAGGGUUUCUAGCUCCAGAAUCAGUAGUCACAGAAAGAUUCAACGAGCAGACGGAUGUUUUCGCCUUUGGUGCUACAUUAAUCGAGAUUUUGACUGGAAGGGAGCCUCAUAAUGUGUUUAUUGGAGCAUCUGAUUAUAUGACUAACCAUGACACUACUCCAGUUGCAGAGUCAUCUCUCAUAUCUGUCUCUUCGCCUAAAAGAAGAGAUCUUUUGAUGUUCUUGAAGGCCAUUCUGAUAAAAGAUGGGAAGGAUAAUGCAUUAGAGGCCAGCGCAGAGCUUGCUGCUAGCUGUGUGGAGAUAUUGCCAGAGAAGAGGCCAACGUUUGAAGAAGUAGCUAAGAAGCUGAAACACAUUCAGAACAUGUAAAGUAAGACAUUGUUUUUUUUUUUGGUGUGUCUAAAAUAAAGAAACGGGGUGAAAGUCCUAUUAUGUAGAGUUCAGUGGUGAAAAAAAUGGAAAAUAGUAUAUACUCCUUCCGUUUCAAAAAGUUACAUAUUCUAAAAAGAAAAUUUGUUCAAAAAGAUGCAUUUUUUUUCAUAUUUCGAGUGCAUUUUUGUCAACUAAUAAUGAAAAAUUAUGAACUUCAAGAACGUUAAUUGCAUUUCUUGAAGUUUUAUUGGUUUAGAAAUAUAUGAUAUAAAAUUACAAAAAACUAUGCAUUAACAACUAAGUUUUAUGAUGUUUUAUUAAUAAGUGUGAAAAUCCUAAAACAUGUAUUAUUUUGAAACAAAGAGAGUAUUUUACAACAAUUCUACCGAAGUAAACAAAAAUAUUUUGAUCGCCUCGCUGAACUGGCCCUACGGUUUCGGAUACUUCGUUUCAUUCGAGCUAUGUAUUAUUGGUUUGGGUGAGUUAUAUUCGGAGUAGCGGUCCUGGAAGGAAGCGGGGGAAGCACUUGAUUCUGGCUUUCCCAAAAUAAAUAAAAUAUCGACCUUUAUUUUCUUAAAAUCUUCAUUAGUCUAGGUGGCAAAGCAAGCAUAGUAUGUGUAUUUCUGAUCUUCGGUAAAUAGCUUUGUAACAAUCUUUUUUCCUAUUCUGGCCCAAUUAUUUUAUAAAGCUUCCGAUCCAAAUGUUUUUUACUAGUUUGAUGGUCGGGCCUGGUUCUGUUCAACAACAAUUCUACCAAAGUAAUCUGAAAAAUGUGAUUCAAUUUGAUGUUUAGUUUAAUUCGGCUUUCUAAAUUUCCGAAAUAACCAAAUUUAUGGGUUUCAGCUAUAUUUCAAUGUAUUUUCCAAAAAAAAACUCAAAAUAUUUUGGUUAAAUUUGGUUAUUUUAAUUAGUUCAGUUGUUUUGAUUAAUUUCAGAUAUUUCAAAUACUAUUAACUUUUAUAAUUUUGAAAACUGAAUCAAAACCUAAAACAAAAAAGUUCUGUUCGGUUCAAUCUGCACGCUUACAGAGAACUAUGGUAAACAUGUUACAAGUUUAUAGUUCAUUACCUAAAUUGUUCAAAACAGAGAUUUAGGGGGCUAUUAAUAAAAAGUAAAAGUAUAUGGUUUAACUAGUUACAAAGCAUAGAAAUAGAUUGAAGACUUUAUAAAGCAAAAGUUGAGGCGUUACAAUGCAAUAAACAGCAAAUUGUUAAACAAAAAGGAGUAUUUGUUGCUGUAACGAAAAAAAAAAGUGAAACUCGCCGGAAAACAAAGUAUGAACGUUUACGACGACGAGUCACUGAAGCAGGAGGUAAUCUACCUCCACUCCCUCUGGCACCAAGGCCCUCCCACCCGAAACCCGAUCCACGACCCGGUUCAGAGAUCCAGGCCCAAUUACAUCCCUCCGGCGGAUUUUCAGCUUCUCUCUCGCUACGGAGCCAACCCUAUUCACCCCCAACCUCCCCUCAGCAACAAGCGCUCCAGACCCGGGUCUGAUCGUGAAUGGCCCGUGAAGGAGCUCCCCCGUUAUCCCCCCACGGGCUGGCCCGAAGCCAAGCCGUGCAAAAAGGCUCGACCUUUAUCAGAUUCGGAGAAAGCGAAGCUCGCCGUGAGUCAGAUUCAGAGAGACACCCACCGCGCUUGCCGCGAGUUUUUCGGCAAGAGAGCAGCAACAUCUGGUGAAGAAUCGGAUGCUGAUGAUGGAGG